AUUGAACGCUGGCGGCAGGCUUAACACAUGCAAGUCGAACGGUAGCAGGAGAAAGCUUGCUUUCUUGCUGACGAGUGGCGGACGGGUGAGUAAUGCUUGGGAAUCUGGCUUAUGGAGGGGGAUAACUACGGGAAACUGUAGCUAAUACCGCGUAGAAUCGGAAGAUGAAAGUGCGGGACCGCAAGGCCGCAUGCCAUGAGAUGAGCCCAAGUGGGAUUAGGUAGUUGGUGGGGUAAGGGCCUACCAAGCCUGCGAUCUCUAGCUGGUCUGAGAGGAUGGCCAGCCACACUGGAACUGAGACACGGUCCAGACUCCUACGGGAGGCAGCAGUGGGGAAUAUUGCGCAAUGGGGGGAACCCUGACGCAGCCAUGCCGCGUGAAUGAAGAAGGCCUUCGGGUUGUAAAGUUCUUUCGGUAUUGAGGAAGGUUGAUGUGUUAAUAGUACAUCAAAUUGACGUUAAAUACAGAAGAAGCACCGGCUAACUCCGUG
rnacentral:rRNA from 1 species